AUUGGCCUUUGGAGACAUUUCAACACACAGUUGUAUUUGCUAAGAAACUCUCGUGACUCUUCGAACCCACCGAGUCCUGACAAUUCUCAAUCACGGGUAUAAUACCUCGUGGUGCCACCCUAAUUAAACUAUUCUUUUUUUGGUCUGGAGAUGGAACAUUCAUUGAUCAACAACCCUUUUGAUCACUGUAUAAAACCACCCCCAAAAUUUUUACAAACACAAGCUCAUCCAAUCACUUUGGUUUAGUAGUAAAGUACUGAAGCCAUGGCAGCAGGGAAGUUUGUUGUUCUGAUGGUAAUGGUCGUAUUAAUGGUUGAGGGCUCAAGGGCAAUGACCUUGUGUCGCAUGAAUGAUCAGGGACUUGAGGCGUGCAAGCCAUCGGUGACACAGCCGAACCCGGUCGACCCAUCACCCGAGUGUUGCAAGGCUCUGAAAGGGGCUGACUUGACAUGCUUGUGUUCUUAUAAGAAUUCGGUGUGGCUAGGUACUUUGGGGAUUGAUCCAAAACUUGCCUUGGAUUUGCCUCCAAAGUGCAAGCUCCAAAUGCCUAGUGUUUGCUAAGGUUUCCAGAAGAGCAUGAAGCUGCUUUCUCAUGUUUGUUGGACUUUCACAAGUUUCUUUGUAUUGUUUUGAUGUGAAAAUCUUUGCAAAUCUUGUAUCUGUUUCGUGUUAAAUUAUUAUUUGGUUAUUGAAGUUUGUACGGACAAGUGAGUGGAAUUGGCCGCCUUCUGCUCUUUUUAAUUCUCAUUACUCUUUUUAUGUUUUUGGUGUUCACAA